ACCAUGACAACAGUGGGGCUGAACAGACCAAGGCAGAAAAGCACAGGAGCAUUUCCAGGAGAAGGCAGCUGGCACAGAAAAGGACCUCAUUUGGACAAGGCAAGAAGCAGAGAUGGGGGAAAUAGACCAAAAGCACCACAGAGAACAGAACUCGCUAUGGUCAGCCUGCUAACCGUGAUGAAGUACAGAGUGCAAGAGGUGGUGGUUCAACUACAGAAGAAAUAAGAAACCAGCAACAGAACAUCUGGCUUGCACUACUGGACUCUUCAAUCACUG